AGAGUUUGAUCCUGGCUCAGAAUCCGCUGGCGGCGUGCCUAACACAUGCAAGUCGAACGAGAAAGUGGAGCAAUCCAUGAGUAAAGGGCGCACGGGUGAGUAACACGUGAAUAAUCUACCUCCGAGUGGGGAAUAACCUAGGGAAACCUGGGCUAAUACCGCAUAACACUUACGAGUCAAAGAGCAAUGCGCUUGGAGAGGAGNNCGCGGCAGAUUAGCUAGUUGGGAGGUAAUGGCUCACCAAGGCGAUGAUCUGUAUCCGGCCUGAGAGGGCGCACGGACACACUGGAACUGAAACACGGUCCAGACUCCUACGGGAGGCAGCAGUGGGGAAUUUUGCGCAAUGGGGGAAACCCUGACGCAGCAACGCCGCGUGGAGGAUGAAUCCCUUGGGAUGUAAACUCCUUUCGAUCGGGACGAUUAUGACGGUACCGGAAGAAGAAGCCCCGGCUAACUUCGUGCCAGCAGCCGCGGUAAUCGAGGGGGGCGAGCUUUUGGAAUUAUUGGGCGUAAAGGGUGCGUAGGCGGUUUGAAAGUCUGAUGUGAAAUCUAGGGCUCAACCCAUAGUCUGCAUUGAAACUGUGGCUUGAGUAUGGGAGAGGUGAGUGGAAUUUCCGGUGUAGCGGUGAAAUGCGUAGAUAUCGGAAGGAACACCUGUGGCGAAAGCGGCUCACUGGACCAUUACUGACGCUGAUGCACGAAAGCUAGGGGAGCAAACAGGAUUAGAUACCCUAGUAGUCC
rnacentral:rRNA from 1 species